UAGGGAAUCUUCCACAAUGGGCGUAAGCCUGAUGGAGCAACACCGCGUGAGUGAAGAAGGGUUUCGGCUCGUAAAGCUCUGUUGUUAAAGAAGAACACGUAUGAGAGUAACUGUUCAUACGUUGACGGUAUUUAACCAGAAAGUCACGGCUAACUACGUGCCAG
rnacentral:rRNA from 1 species